GUUAUUUCGCAGAGUUGAUUGCGUUGGUGUUUAAUUAACUCUGCUGGGAGAUAAAUAAACUCCUCCCCUCUGCUUCAGUUUGAUUUCAAUCUGAACACGGCUCCAUUUUCUUCAUCUCCUGUUCUACACGGUAAGUGUCCAACUUACUAAAUAUUUUGUCCAGCACUAUCACAUUGACAGAGUGAGUGAUUUGACUAUUUCUACUAAUUACCACAUAAUGAAAAGCAGCUGAAUAUGUCCAUUUUGCAACAGUUUUACACAACAUGUUAGCUGGUAGCUAGUAGCACUUACACCUGAUAUUAUUAUAAUGGUAAUUCUUACAAAACAUAUUUUGUCAGACCAUACACUCGUAAAAAAUAUACUUAUACGUUUUUGCCGUUUAAAAUGAUAAUUUUGGCCUUGUGAAUGUAAGCUAACGACUAUUAGCUUCUGCGGAGCGUCAACGAGCCGAAGUCACGUGACACCAAUAGCAGAGUUACAGUGAGGUGAACUCUUGACCUUUACCUUAUUUUGCUUUGUCCAGGUUUAUCCCAUGCUUAAAUAAAAUGCUGAUCCAUGUAAAGUUUGGUGACCUGCAAAAGUAUGUGAAGUUGGAGGAAGUAGAAGGGCCGUUUGACUUUAAUCAGUUUCAUGAGAAAGUCAUUGAACAAUUUUGCCUGCCACCUGAUACCAAAGUUACAUACAAAGAUGCAACAGAUACUGAAGUUGACGAAGAAAUAUUCAGUGACCUCCUUAGACAAGGCAAUGUGGUUCUGACAGUUUUCUGCUAUGAUGAGUUCUCAGAAUGGUCAUCUGCUUCUGACUCAAGCUUCAACUCAAAUGCAUCAACAUCAACAAUACUAAUGGAUGAGAUGCCACGCAAGAAGCAAAAAACUGAGAAUCCUGAUAACUCAGUGUCUGCUAAAAAUCUGGUUGAAGGUGUCCUACAAAGCAAGUCUGGUGGUGAAGAAAUUCUGCAGGAGUAUGAAACUACAGAAACCCUAACUGAUGCCACAAGAAGACAAAUGGUGAACAUACUGGUGGCUCACGUGAUUGAUGAACAAGGGCACCUCCCCACAAAAGCAAUCAGAGAGAAGUAUGCCUUUGGAAUAGUGACAAAGGCAUCCCUCAAGGAUCCAUACACCAAAAAAGGCAAUGAGCACUUUUAUGAUGCAGCAAGCAGCACUGGAUACAUUUCAUGGCGUCUUAAAACGGUCCUAAGGAAGAUUCAAAGAGGAUCUCUUGUGCCAUCAAGUAGCACCAAUUACAUUUAAUCUGGAGGCCCAAAUAUACAGACAACUGUGAUUGUUGAAAAACAGCUUGAUGGGAAUGCCUGCCAGGAGGCCAUCUCUCUGCUUAACCACACCACAGACAGGUCCGUGAUCUUUCAGAAGAUGAGAGAGACUUUUGAGCACCGUCACAAGCUUAUUAAAGAUGCCAGUGGAAGAAAUGAUAUAUCCUGACCACAUUCCGGGGUUCCUGGACACAAAAGGAUUGUGAAGAAACCUCAUCCAGACUGCUGCAGAAGUGGGAUGUGUUCUUCAAACCAAAUGUCAUCAAGGAGGCUAAGCGUUUCACUUCUCCACCUGAGUUGAGAAGUUUGGUGCAGUCAGCGGAAAGUCUUCAAAGCGAUGACCUCACUAACACAUCUAGCUAUGACCAAGAAAUGGCCUCGCUGUUACUUCUUCUUCCACCGCAACCAGGAGGACAGAAGUCUCCAAAAAUCAGUGCAAGUGAUGCAGAUGAGAGAC